rnacentral:lncRNA from 1 species
GGGGGGUGGGGGAGAUACCGCAGCGCCCCCUGGGAAAUGUAGUCCUGAGCGCGGGAUGGUUGCGAGGAGAGGAGGGAGAGAGAACUACAACUCCCGACAGACCUGGCGCAUGCUGUGGGAAGAGCGGGCUGCACGCGGGCGCUCCGCCUGGUAGGGUCCGUAUUGAGAAUAGGCGGUUCUGGAGAGCGGGGGGCUGUUGUCUCUCAGUUCUAAUCCGCCGCCUUGUUAGCGUUAGGUGCACGCCUGUGUCCUGGCACAGUUUAAUUCCUUACUUCUGGAGAGGCAUUGCCUCUUGUGCCUCGGAAUUAUUACCGUGAGAAGCUGCUUCAGUGCGAUCUGAGGAGGUCUUACGAGCCUCGGAUCUACAGUAAAGAAAAACUGGCCUCAGGUGGUCUUGGAUACUUUGUGAAGAAAGAAAGAAGAUUGGUGUGCCACUUUUCCUCGUCACUUAUCAUGGAGCAACCUAGAGACACCCUAACAUUAAUGCCUGUGUAGCUGUCUUUAAGCCAAGGAAAUGGGAGGAUUCUUUCCAGCCCGAAGCUGCGGUGUCUCAGAGAGGCCCUCAUUCAAUAUAUCUCUUUGGCUGCCACCUGAGAGAGUGUUUUUACCAAACGCUCAGCUUCUUCAGAAAGCUUCCACCAAUGAUCAUGUAAAAGGGGAAGAGGGGAGACUGCAGAGAAAAACAAGGCUUCGCAAAUGGCAAAGCUUAAGAUCUCCUCUUAAACCUGAGUCGUGGUUGACAUUAUUUAAUAGAGCAUCUUUUAGCAUUAGUAAAAGGCUGCAACAUUUGCUUUGAAUGGGAGACAGUUCUCUUCCUUUAAGUUAGUACUGAGAAAUAAAUCCUGAAAACCGGUUAAAAUUGUAGUUGGC